rnacentral:rRNA from 1 species
AUUGAACGCUGGCGGCAGGCCUAACACAUGCAAGUCGAACGAGUGGCGGACGGGUGAGUAAUGUCUGGGAAACUGCCUGAUGGAGGGGGAUAACUACUGGAAACGGUAGCUAAUACCGCAUACCAUCAGAUGUGCCCAGAUGGGAUUAGCUAGUUGGUGGGGUAACGGCUCACCAAGGCGACGAUCACUAGCUGGGCUGAUAGGAUGACCACCCAAACGGGAACUGUGACACGGUCGAGACUCCUACGGAAGGCAGCAGUGGGGAAUAUUGCACGAUGGGGGCUAGCCUGAUGCAGCCAUGCCGGGUGUAUUAAGAAGGCCUUCGGGUUGUAAAGUACUUUCAACAGGGAGGCGUUACCCGCAGAAGAGGCACCGGCUAACACGGUGCCAGCCGCCGCGGGAAUUC